GAUGAACGCUGGCGGCAUGCCAAAUACAUGCAAGUCGAACGAGAGGAAGGAAAGCUUGCUUUUCUGAAUCUAGUGGCGAACGGGUGAGUAACACGUAGGUAACCUGCCCAUGUGCCCGGGAUAACUUCUGGAAACGGAUGCUAAAACCGGAUAGGUAGCAGACAAGCAUUUGACUGCUAUUAAAGUGGCUAAGGCCAUGAACAUGGAUGGACCUGCGGUGCAUUAGCUAGUUGGUGAGGUAACGGCCCACCAAGGCGACGAUGCAUAGCCGGCCUGAGAGGGCGGACGGCCACAUUGGGACUGAGACACGGCCCAAACUCCUACGGGAGGCAGCAGUAGGGAAUUUUCGUCAAUGGGGGGAACCCUGAACGAGCAAUGCCGCGUGAGUGAGGAAGGUCUUCGGAUCGUAAAGCUCUGUUGUAAGAGAAAAACGGCACUCAUAGGGAAUGAUGAGUGAGUGAUGGUAUCUUACCAGAAAGUCACGGCUAACUACAUGCCAGCAGCCGCCGUAA
rnacentral:rRNA from 1 species